rnacentral:rRNA from 1 species
AUGGAAUGAGUACACUCUAAACCCUUUAACGAGGAUCAAUUGGAGGGCAAGUCUGGUGCCAGCAGCCGCGGUAAUUCCAGCUCCAAUAGCGUAUGCUAAAGCUGCUGCGGUUAAAAAGCUCGUAGUUGGAUCUCAGUUGCGGGCGGGUGGUGCAUCUACCCGAUGUGACGGCCCGAACUGAACAUCUUGCCUUCUAUCCUCUGGUGUCCUUCACUGGAUGCCUUUGGGUGGUCGGUGCAUUUACUUUGAAAAAAUUGGAGUGCUCAACGCAGGCGAAGUGCCUGAACACUUAUGCAUGGAAUAAUAGAAUAAGACCUCGUUUCUGUUCUGUUGGUCUUUGGAAAACGAGGUAAUGAUCAAAAGGGACUGCCGGGGGCAUUCGUAUUGCGGCGCUAGAGGUGAAAUUCUUGGACCGUCGCAAGACGAACUACAGCGAAAGCAUUUGCCAAGAAUGUUUUCAUUGAUCAAGAACGAAAGUUAGAGGUUCGAAGGCGAUCAGAUACCGCCCUAGUUCUAACCAUAAACGAUGCCAACCAGCAUUCCGCCUGAGUUACUCCAAUGACUCUGCGGGCAGCUUCCGGGAAACCAAAGUAUUUGGGUUCCGGGGGAAGUAUGGUUGCAAAGCUGAAACUUAAAGGAAUUGACGGAAGGGCACCACCAGGAGUGGAGCCUGCGGCUCAAUUUGACUCAACACGGGAAAACUUACCCGGCCCGGACACUGGGUGGAUUGACAGAUUGAGAGCUCUUUCUUGAUCGG